GUGGGGUGCGCCAAGCCAAUGCAAUAGUGCAACGCACUGGCGACACUCGAGAAGCCUAGUAGCAAGCUACUAAAAUGGCUUCUCCCCCUAAAAAAAGUAAUUUAAUAUCAUGUGAACCAUUGGUCCACAUAUCAGAUAUUAAACUGAUAAGAACAGAUACUACACUUGAUCUUAGCCAAAAGGCCGAGAAAGGUAUAAGUUACAACAUGAGAUCCUGCUGCUUUUAUAUCUGACAUGUUCUCACUUGUUUUCUUGACUCCUCGAUGUGGGACAUUUUUAUCAUUGUAUGCAUACGUUACAAAGCCCACCAAAGAGCAACUACCAAGCUAUAUGCCAACAUAGAGCACACUAAAUCCUUUCAGCAAUUCAUCCAUUAGACCAUUAAUAUGCAGAUUAAGAUAUUGUCGAUUUGAAUAAUAAUAUGCAGAUUAAAUCCUGCAAAACAGUGCACAAAACUUGAAGCAAACGUUUUUUUAAAACUCGGUGUCCGACCCAACAACCGAGUAAUUAGCCGGGUCCAAUCCCACCAUCCACUUGCAGAGGCUCCAUUUAAAGUCAGAACAAAACUCUGUGUAGAUAUCAUAGAUCAUCGAAUAUGAACAUCAUAGAUCAGUAUAGGCACCAUUUGAUCUGUAUGACAUAUUUGAAAUACAUAGAGGAGCACAAAAACUAGAACUUAUUAUUGCUAGCAGCUUUAAUAUGCUCAUAGGUUAUAUUAUCCAAACCUAGAAUUAAGGUAAUAGUGGAAUCUGAUUUCAUAUGAUGCAAACUCAUAUCAAUAUAUGAAUUCCAUAAACAAAUGUCAUAGUAGAACAAUGUAAGGAAAUAUCUCCUUUAACAAACUCAUAUCAUAUCAAAGUUAUUUGAAGAUUAAUCUCUGAUUCACAUUAAUCUUGUAGAUAUUAGACAGUUGUUAAUUAUUUUUUAUUUUAAUACUGCAUAGUUUGCAUGUUAGAGUAGAGACAUAUGCACAUAGAAUGCAAGUCAAUUAGGAUUGCAUUUUCGGUUUCAAAGUGAAAGGGAAAACUAUGCGCUGGAGUCAGAUUUUUGUAUGCUCUUAGUGUAUUUACACUGUGCCUUUUAAGCUGGUCAACAUUAGUCUCACUUUAACACAAUUUCAUUAAUUUAAUCAAACCGAAUUCACAAGCUAAAUGAUUUUUUUUUUUUUAUUUUUUUUUUUAUGAUAAAAAGCUUAUAGCAUUUCAUCAAUUAGAAUAUGAUGAAUACAAGCAGGAUCAAUGGAAAUGUGGAAGGCCGCCCUUGCUAACACUUAUGAGCAACCCUUUUGACUUGUCUCCUAAUAAACUCAUCUUUAAUUUUUACAACGGAUAAGAUUAUCUCUACGGUCUCGGAUAAUACCACUUAGAUCCGACACCCCUAGACUUUUACUGUGGAAUUUAUCAACCACGCACUUUGAAUCCAAUUCAACUCAAGCCGCAAUUCGUCAAUCCAUUUGUAGCAUCCUAUAUGAGGUUUUGCCCACGACAGAAUUUGCAGCAGUCCUUGGAAGCCUUACAGUUUAAGUGCCGGACCAAUUAGUGAGUAGAGUAGCAGCAUGUGCACUCACAGUAGCAGGCACCACUACUUCAUUAUACCAAAUAUUGUAGUUCCUUUAUUUCCUGAUUAAAAUUCUGCAACACGCAGACAAAAAAUUCUGCUCCAGUCCGAGAGUGCGAAGUAUACUGUUGAAUGAAAUUUCGAAGACCAGCUCUACGCCAACAAAGCUCACUGUUAUCUUCGAUACCAUUUUCGCAUAAGGCACAAUUCGGAAUUGUCAAUGUAACAAAAAUACAAUGAAGGUAAUAGCAACCAAUCAAACAAAUAUUACAUUUCAUAUAACUCAAAGCCUCUUCACAAAGCCAAGCCAAUACGAACUACAUACCAUAUAGCGAUUAUUUGGCAGGAAAGGAUUAUGAUAAUGAUAUGAACACGGUAACCAUUGCCAGAUAUGAACCAGAAUAAAAAUUUAAACUUGAAUUGGUGGGGUGCACCAGACCAAUGCUAUAGUGCAACACAUUGACAACACACGAGAAGCCUAGUAGCAAGCUACCAAAGUGGCCUCCCCCCCUCAAAAAAGUAAUUUAAUAUCGUGUGAACCAUUGGUCCACAUAUUAGAUAUUAAACUGAUAAGAACAGAUACUACACUUGAUCUUAGCCAAAAGGCCGAGAAAGGUAU
rnacentral:lncRNA from 1 species